rnacentral:rRNA from 1 species
ACUCAAUAGAUACCCCGGUAGUCCUAGCCUUAAACGAUGAUGACUUGGUGUGUCGGGUUUUCAGUCCCGAUGUGCCGGAGCUAAACGCGUUAAGUCAUCCGCCUGGGGAGUACGGUCGCAAGACUGAGACUCAAAGGAAUUGACGGGGACCCGCACAAGCGGUGGAGCAUGUGGUUUAAUUCGACGCAACGCGAAGAACCUUACCUGGGCUAGAAUGCGAAGGACGGAAUUGCAAAACAGUUUCUUCUGGGGUAAAACCCAGACCUGAAGCAAGGUGCUGCAUGGCUGUCGUCAGCUCGUGUCGUGAGAUGUUGGGUUAAGUCCCGCAACGAGCGCAACCCUUACCGCUAGUUGCUACAGUUUGGCUGAGCACUCUAGUGGAACCGCUGGUGAUAAACUGGAGGAAGGUGGGGAUGACGUCAAGUCAUCAUGGCCUUUAUGUCCAGGGCUACACACGUGCUACAAUGGCUGGUACAAAGGGCAGCAAACCCGCGAGGGGGAGCCAAUCCCAGAAAACCGGCCUCAGUUCGGAUUGCAGU